UCUUUGUCUCUUGCUGGCGCUGGCACAGGAACUUGGGAUCCGUCUCCUCUUUCGCCUCCUCCGCUUUGGGAGCCCCGGGCUACUCUUUCACAGCCCCUGUUGCCCUGUGAUCUGUAGGUCCUUGGGGACGCACAGUUAAGAUGACAGGACAUCCUGGAAGCUGGGAAAUGGCUGAAUGCUAUCCAGUGAAUAUACGUGCCCUGUUUGUUGAAUCUACUCAUCCUUAAAGAUAUGUAUUCAUUUCCUACCACCGUAGUGGAAGAGAGAUUUUCCCUAUCUUUACAACUGAUAGCAUUUCCAACAGUAAGCUGUGAGAUUCUGCUUGAAAUCACCUCUCAAACAAAUAAAAAACAGACCUGGGAGACAUGCUACACUCAUUCUGCUGAGGAAAUAGGCAUCAUAGCUGGGAAACGGAUUCACAAGACCCAGGCUGUUCCCUACAUAUGUUUCCUCCUCCGACAUCAGUUCAUCAGUCAAUCAAGCCAUGUGAGAGUGGAGGCCUUGUAUUCCCUAUUAUUCUUGGGCACUCUACUCCAAGUAGGAAAAGGCCAGGAGGUCCUGUUAAAGGAUGCACUCAGAGCCCGGGCUCCCUAACAUAUGAGAGUGCUAACCAGCAGGUGUAGACUUUUCAGGAGUGAAGAAUGAGGCAGGCAUUCCAAACCUGGACCUUCAUCACCUUUUGUUUCAUCUCAAGACAAUUCUGAGGGACUGUUUUGGAGCGUGUCUGGAAGGUGAACCUUGAAGAAGAGUGUGGGCUUUGAUGUGACUCAGUUGAGAUCUUUCAUGGGGAGGCAGGAAUUCAAUGCCCAGAAUCUGGGCUGGUGUCUUUGAGGUCAGUAGGUUGCGUCUUUGUAUCCAAGUCCAUUGUUACUAGGUUGGAGGCUGGAGAUUCUAAAUGGCUUCCAGACCAUCUCUCUGAUUCUCUUUGGGAGAUGGGGUCUGAAAGACAAUGUCAGUAGUUUUGGGAAAUUCUAGAAAGUGUGCUUGGAAACGUGGGAAGAGCUCUUGCCUAGUGCCUAAAUGCUCCAUUUGCAGCUCUAGCCAAGUAGAUACUUGGUAGGUAUAGAGCCGGGUUUGCGUUUAUAUCAGCAAAACCUAUGUCAGAGUUGAAGAAGUAGUCAGGAAAAAGCGUCUUGGUCGCAGGCCGGGGAACAUCUUAAAAGCAAACUUCUAGCCUGCUGACUCUUGGCAAUGAGUGUUGGAUCCUGGCUAAAGUGCCUUGAAUGCAGCAUGAGGCCAAUCCAUGAAUCCAACUUCUCAUGGAGAAAUGUUAAUAUUUUUUCAGUUUGAAUCAAUCAGGGUGAAACUACCAUGCUAUUGGUUUGCUUACUUUUUAUUAUUUCAUGUAAAAUCUAAGACAAAAUACAUUAAAUGCUUAUUGACAUAUGUAUUUAUUCUUCACCAGGCUGAUAAUAUCUGCCUAAUUUUAAACUUUCUUCCAUUUUGUAGGUUUCAACUUAUUCUAUUGUAAGAUACUGUUAAAUCUAAUAGAGGCAUUGUCACUUUUACGUAUAAUUUUAUUUUAUUUCAUAUAUUUCCUAUUGGCUUUUUACAUUUAAAUUAUGGAGCACUUCAUCAUAUAAAAAACUUCAAUUAUAUUUAAA
ensembl:lncRNA LINC03104 long intergenic non-protein coding RNA 3104